UCUCCAUUCCACGCCGCCUCACGUCACACAUGCCUCUGCCUCUUCUCUGAGCACUGAGCUCCACCACUUCCAUCUAGUCCACUGUCCAUCGUCCAACCAACCUCCACUCUCCUCCCGACAUCGACCGAUUAACCAUCGCGGCUAACUCGGGUUAUUAGUUAGCAACGCCGACUCCUCCUCACCUCACUAUCGCUCUCUAGUCUUUCUGUCACUGGUGGAUUUGUAGUUUUCUCCCAAGAGCCUCUUCGCGGCCUCCACACAAUCGUCGGCGUCGGUCGUCGCUCUCCACGCAAUCGUCGGUCGUCGCUCUCCAGUCCAUCGGCUCUCCGCGCCGUCAGCAACUUGGUUGUCCUCAAUCCUCUAUCUUCCUCAGCCCUCAGUCUUCCUCAGUUCAGUCCUCAGUCCUCAUCAGCAACUGUAAAAGCUUGACAAAGGAAAGUGCUACUAAUGCUACAGGGAGAUAAUUGAUCUAAUUUCGUUGAAGUGAUUGGAAUGCAUGAAUCUGAUGAUUAUUUACCAUUAGCAUCGGAUGCAGUCUAAAUUUUUUUAUCUGUUAAUCUCUGCAUAUUUAAUUGAAUUCCAUUAUAAGGGUUUGUGUAUGGUAAGUUUGUUUCCUUGUGUACUUUGUUUUCUUGUCUAGUAGUUUCAAAGAGAAACAAGUUUAUUCACAGUAUUUUCUCCAUCCAUUAGGAUUUUCAAUAUCAGCUGCUAGAUUGGGAUUGCCUAAUACUGGAUUUAUUUCCUAUGGGGAAAUGGUGGAUCAAGGGCAACUAAUCACUCAAGCUGUGUCAAUUCCUGUAAUUGGGGAUGGUGAUAAUGGCUAUGGAAAUGCCAUGAAUGUCAAAAGAACUAUCAAGGGAUUUAUAAAAGCUGGUUUUGCAGGAAUCAUUCUUGAAGAUCAGGUUUGGGACCGUGAGAAAAUUGUGGUCAUACCAGAUCAUUAUAUAUUCACUGCUGAUGAGCUUGCAAACCGUAAUGUGGACAUUUUGAGGCAUUUCUGUCUGAAACAAAAUAUAAAGCACUUCUAUGAUAUCAAAGAUCGUAGUGACUUCAAGGGCUAUACUUGCAUGGCAGGCUAGCCCUGAUUAUCAAGGUGUAUGCCAUAUUGCACUUGCACAAGAAGGUCAUUGUAGGCCAGGAGAGGUUCUGUUGGGUACAGAUUCUCACACCUGCACUGCUGGAGCAUUUGGUCAAUUUGCUACUGGAAUUGGCAUCACUGAUGCAGGUUUUGUAUUAGGAACUGGGAAGCUCCUGCUCAAGGUACCCCCAACUCUGAGAUUUGUAAUGGACGGUGAAAUGGCUGAUUAUCUGCUUGCAAAGGAUUUGAUUUUGCAAAUUAAAUCUGAGAUGUGUGCCAUAAAACCGAGGACUUUAUGGCUGCUGCUAAAGUUUUUCUAAAUUCGAAAGGUCAAGGUUCCCACAUUUCUUGUCCCUGCAACCCAGAAGGUCUGUAAUGCCGGAUCAUAAUGUGUUUCAAGUCUGCGAAUUCACCAGUUACAAAAGGAUACUGAUCUAAAGACAGAAAGAAACUGAUUUACAAAUUUAACUGUAAUAUAUUGUAAAAAUUUUCAGGUUUUGAGAUAUUUUAAGUUUCUUAGUGUUGAACUAUAGUAAUGUUUUGGACUUUUAGAUUGCAGAAUUAUGAAAUGAAGUUGAUGUGUAUAUAUUGUCUUUGA